ACAGUGUGUUCAGGACUGGGCUUGUCUAUCUUCCCUUUGUGAGUACAUUUUGGCUGGGGCCUCGAUCCCACAGUAACUGUGCAAUCGGAGCGUGUGGUGGUGGUUCUCUUGUCAUGCGCUCAGCUUGGGCUAGGAAGUUGGCUGUUUUUUUUUUUUUGUUUUUUUUUUUUAAGGUUUCUGCCUCCAAUAUAGUGUGUCAGGCCUGAUGACUGUGACCCCAUUAUGCAGAUGAGAACAAUGAGGUACUAAGCGCUCAUGUUGCAUGCUCAUGUCUGAGACUGGUCAGGGGCAGAGCUUGGAACUCAAACAAGGGUCUACCCCCUCAGCUAGCCUGUCACAGUGUGGUCUGUGACAAGGGUGGCUCCACGUCCACCAAAUCCAUACUCUGCCCUCACUGACAGGCGCCACCCAGCACUUACCACCCUCCUGCGGCAUGGCUGACUUCAGUCUGGAUCAGGGCCAGCCUCUCUGGCCCUCUGCAGCAAGCAGACGUCCCAAGGAACAAAGUGAAGCUUCCCCCACAGAGGGAAAGUGUUCUGGGGAAGACAGCAUUGGCAGAAUGUGACCAGGGGAAGAGCGUCACUCUGCCCACUGAAAGAAAUGAAAGGUAAACCUGCCAGCUGCUGAGGCAAGGCCACUGGCCAAAGCCACCUCAGUGUAACCUCUCUGACACAGGAAGCCAGACCCAGAACAGAGUGACCUGGAGUUCAUGUGAAGGAAACGGAUACAAUGGAUUUACAUGGACGUUACCAAGAAGCUGGCUUUUUCUCCUUUCACGCAUGAACCGGCCUGGCCUGGAAGGGGCAGAGGUCAUAAGAACCCUCGUGCUCACACCUGAGGCGUGAGACGGUGUGUCCAUCUGUUCCUAGCCAUCUUUGGCGUAGCACUCGCAGUUUGUUUCAGUUUUCUGUUGCUGCAUGUUUUGCCACAGGCGCCUCAGGAGCGCAUGAACGCUGCAUGUUUUCAUUGCCUGCAUGCCUUCUGUUGGUGUUACAGUUUCCUCCCAGACUAGAACAUUCCAUCCUGCAAGAAGCUCCUUUAAGCAAGAAGGUGAACAACUCAGAAUAUCUUCGGGAAGUCCCCGAAACGGAAUAGAUUCACAAGGCUCCUCCCCGCCAGAGUAAGUAAUAGAAGUUGACAGUCCCUCUCAGACAGAGGGAGACAAACUGCUGUGAAGACUCUCGGACCUGGCCAGUUGCCUGGAAGAAGCAGGAACCAGCAGAUCCUCCUGGAAGAGUUUUAGACCAACUGAGGCACUUGGAAAAGACGCUCACCAACCUGCUGAGCUGCCUGCAGGCUGUGCAGUGUGGUCCAGGUUCCCAGCUUUCGUGAGCUGUCAUCCACGCUGGGGCGGGCUUUGGCGAUGCAGCUGUCUUGGAGUCAUUCUGUAAGUAGCCCCUCACCCAUAUUCCUGUAAGUAACCCAAUAAAGCUCACUGGGCCACAAAGUUGAACUUUGGUGGCAUCUGUGCUUUGGUCUGUGGUAGAUAGAUGUAGGAUCAGGGUCAGCGGUGGUCCUUGGGCUGCAGGCCUCUCUAAUGCCACAUUUACUACCAGGACUGGAGGUCUCACUUCAUUUCCUGUUCUCAGACUCCAGAGGAUGUCCAUCCAUCCAUCUGUCUCUAUGAACACUGCCUUCUUCACCAGUGGCCUCCCUUCGGCAGCCAGCUCAGAGAACUGCAUCAGAAGCCCCAAAAUAUGUCUGGUCCCUGGAAUGUCUCCCUAUGGCAGGGUCACAGUGUGAGGACACUUAUGGCCACAGACCAGCCCAGCUGCACAUCCACCUGGUGUGGGAGCGUGGAAUUCAGAGCACCUGUGACCCUGGGUCGAGAGAGAAGCAAACACCACACUAGAUGGCUCUGAGAGCAGACCCAGACUGGAGAAAGCACUCGGAAAGGCAGGCAAAUGAAGUGAAUUGAGCAGAGGACAUGACUGGCUCUGGGAAUGAUCAGCGACAGAGCCAGAGGUCUGCAUCUGUUGGUUGCCAAGUCCCCCAGGUUAUGUGCAUAUCAGCCAGGGCUUUAGGAGGCUGGCCAGACAGAACAGAAGGUAAGAUCUUCCUAGAACCCGAGAAACCAUGCUCUCUACCCCAAAUUUGGAGCUGAGUCUCCUGCCCUCAGCGCUAGGCCUCUCAGCCAUGGGAGGAGCCCCACAUGAAGCAAUCUCAUUACAGGUUUUCCUCCGAAGGUUCCAGGUCCUCUGAGCUGGGCCAGGGGCGGAGGCCAGAUCCAAGUGUGUCCAGAAGAGCCAGGUCCCCAGCCCUGCCUGGGUAGCAGCUUCCAGGGAGUUAUUAUUUUAGUGAUAACUAGGAAAGGAAUCAGGUCAGUAGCACUUCCCCCCAUUGUUAGUGCUUUUUAUCAGAGCCUGGAAAACCACAGCCGUCCCCAAGGGCCUGGGGCAGAGUAGGGCUCAGGACAGGAAACACAAGAAUGGUCUCAGCAGGUGAGAGAGCCCCAUGUGUUGGGACCUGGAGCAGGGUGGACUUGACAACCACAGCAUUGUCCUGACUUUUUGAAGUUCUCUUUCCUGAGAAGCUCAGAGCAAUUCACAGACAAAGCAUUUCUCCCCUGCCCCCCAGGGAGGGAGGCGCAAGAAAAAGUUGCAAGAACUUCUACAAGCUCGGAGACAAUGACUUGGGGAGGCAGGAUACCUCGCUAGGCGCCUCAGCUUCAGGCACCACCGUCAGGGCAUCUCUUUAUCACCUACAGCUUUUCUGUGUUCUGAUCACCUUGUUUGAAAAUUAAAACAACAACCCCCCAUUUCACUCUGGGGCCUGCUGGAAGCUUGGAAGUCCCUGUAGUUGGCCAUCUGCAGACAGGACAGAAGAAUGUCCUGCCCCUACAUGACAACAUUUCAAUAUCAGAAAAACAGUUGUCUGUUGAUUGAGCACCAAGAUGGACAGGCAGCUGAAUCUCUGUUUGAAGAAUGAACAAAGACUUGUCCCUCUGUCUCCAGGAUGCCGGGGAAAGUGAGAACUUAAGUGUUCCAAGGGUGGCUGUGGUUGGAUGCAUGAUGGAUUCUCAUAGAUGUGUAAUAAUGAUGGUUAUAGAGAUGACUGUGUUUGGAUACAUUGUAUUGACAAAAGAUAAGCGUUAGGUAUGCAAUAGAUACAGGGAUUCGGGUACACACUUUAGUAAUUGAUAUACAUGAUAAUGAUAAAGGAUAUGUAGUUAAAU